rnacentral:lncRNA from 1 species
GGACUUAGGGCGCUCGGCUGCUACUGCUCCCUCCCUGGGCUUCGGCAAGAGUCUUUCCCUGUCUAACACGAGGGAACACACGGAGAAUUUGAGUGUACAUAUUCAAGAACAAAAGACUGUGAAGCUAGAAUGCAACUGUAGCAUUAAACAGCGGUGCCUCAAAACGUGGAUUUGUACCAACUAGAAGAACAACAUCUGCUUCUUCCACACCAGCAAUUGUGGUAUUGAGAAGAUAACUGGAACGAAAACAAUGGCUGCGAACAGUUGUAGCACUCAUCUUCAAUCCAAGUACUUAGGAGGUAAAGACAGAAAGUUCUUCUGCUACACAGAGUUCAAGGCCAGUCUGGGCUACAAGAGACUCAAAAAUCAAAACGAAAUCCAAACCAUCAGCCUGGAGCACAGCUGAGUGUUUCUCACCCAGCUCCUUCGGUGGGGAAGAUCUCCUCAGUGCAUAAGUUGUCAGAGUCAACUUUAUUCAGCAAGUCUUUCAGAGCUACUAAGGCUUCAGCAUCCACCAAGCCACCUGCAAUGGCUGCCACAGCAUUGCCUUCAAAAUUCUGUAACUGGAAACAGAGAAAAGGGCAUCUCUAAGAAACCUACAGUCAGCAAAGACCAUGACUGUUCAGAAAAUAAACCAAGUCAUUCUCAAGUAUCCAGAGUAUCAGGACACAUAGCCAUCUCUCCUGGAUUAGUGUAGCUUCCACUCUACAUCAAAGAAGCUUUUUACAGCAAAUCGAAAGAAAAACCACACUGGAAACAAUGCAGAAAUUAACGAAUUAUAAGGACCCCAGCCACAACAGACACAUCCACACCAUGGCUCUUGCAUCUAUAGCUCAAGGAACACCAUGGAAAAGAAAGAUUCUAAGAGCCAGAGUGCCAGAAAUCUGCUGUAAAGCAGUGUCUCCUAGAAAGGCUGCAUAAACAGGAUCAGAAUACCAAUACCAACAGGAAUUUUAACAUGGAAGGGAGAAAACCCCACAGGUCUCGCCUCUAGACAAAGAACUAUAGGCAACUGACUGCUGGGAGAAAAAGAAUUAGCUUCUCUCAGGAAUGAACCCCCAUAUAGGUUGUCCAGUACAGAGCAGUCAGCCUUGAAAUCAUAUAUACACAAACAACAAAAAUGUAGGUUCUAUUUGUAUUGUGCAUGUACAUAAAUUUAUAUAUUUAUAAUAUAUAUAAUAUAUAUAUAAAACACGAAUUUAAAAAGACAUUGUCAAAAAAUAUUAGCUAGCAAGUAAAAAACAUUUAAUCUUUUCUUUUUCUGGUGAAUUAAAUUAACAUUUGAUUACUGAAAUA